UUAAAUGAAACCAAACCACCGGUCUACCACUGUUAAUGGUAUUUAGAUAUAAAAAUCCAUUUAAA
rnacentral:tRNA from 1 species